CAGAAGACACUGACCUCCAGCUCCCGGGACUGCCAGCAGAGCGAGGACCAGCAGAGAAAACACAGACUGAAGGUUUGAGCGGGAAGUGAGCACCACCAUGACUGAAAUGGGACUCACCCGCUCCAGCUGGAUGUAGAACGUCUGGUCCCAGCUCAGCCUGCUGAUGGCUGCCCAGCGCGUCCGGCCGACCACUCUGCCGUCCAGCCUGAGCACGCCACUGAUCUCUGCGAUGGGUUUCUUUCUGCAGAGUUCCUUUCCAGUGCCAGCACUGCUGCUGCUGCUGCUCUGACAGCGCCGAUUGCCUGCUCAGGCCUCGGCAUUGGCCGUUGCAUGACCACAUGUUCCUGCUCUGCCACCAACCAAAAGGCAAGCAGAGCUGCUGGUGCUCUCUUUGGGACAAAGCAGAGAAGAGCCUGCGGUGCAUAUGGGGAUAUGUUUAACCUACUCUAACAAGAAUGAGAUGAGAGACUUAAAUAACUACACUGAUAGCAGGAGGUGGGAAAUCAGUUCCUGGAUAUAAUAAUGUAGCCUGUCUGGCUGUUUUUUACUGACAGCGUGGAUGUUAACAGUCACGCAUGACAGCUCUGUGGUUGUGGUCUCCCACUUUACUGCCUGUCAAAUUGAAAACAAUUAAUGUAGCUACACAAUGACACACUUGAACAGACAAUCCAUCACACUUGCCCUAAUUAGGCUGUUACACAUUCACCAGCUUGAAAUUGUCUCAUUAAAACGG
ensembl:lncRNA